CAAUAGCGUAUAUUAAAGUUGUUGCGGUUAAAAAGCUCGUAGUUGGAUUUCUGCUUGGGACAACCGGUCCGCCGUAAGGUGUGUACUUGGUUGUCUCCCGUCAUCCUUGUGGGAACUGCUCUGGCAUUAAGUUGUCGGGGUUAGGGAACACAUCGUUUACUGUGAAAAAAUUAGAGUGUUUAAAGCAGGCUUAUGCCGUUGAAUACAUUAGCAUGGAAUAAUAAGAUAGGACUUUGGCGUCUAUUUUGUUGGUUUGCACACCAAGGUAAUGAUUAAUAGGGAUAGUUGGGGGUAUUCGUAUUAAUUAGUCAGAGGUGAAAUUCUUGGAUUUAUGAAAGACGAACUUCUGCGAAAGCAUUUACCAAAGAUGUUUUCAUUAAUCAAGAACGAAAGUUAGGGGAUCGAAGAUGAUCAGAU
rnacentral:rRNA from 1 species